ACUUGGAUAACCGUAGUAAUUCUAGAGCUAAUACAUGCAACAAAUCCGGUCCCCAACGGGAACGUGAUGUAUUUAUUAGGCACAGAAUCCUCGCAAGGCACUCCAAACCGCGGGGCAGUGGCGACCGCCUCGGCGGCACGCGCUCCCCUCGGGCCUUGGUUAUCGGAUGAUUCAUGAUAACUUGUCGAAUCGCAGCGACCUCGAGUCGGCGAUGAUGCAAACAAGAUUCAGCCCUAUCAACUUUCGAUGGUAGUAUAGGGGACUACCAUGGUUGUAACGGGUAACGGGGGAUUUGGGUUCGAUUCCGGAGAGGGAGCCUGAGAAACGGCUACCACUUCUAAGGAAGGCAGCAGGCGCGCAACUUACCCAAUGGGGACACCCUGAGGUAGUGACAAGAAAUACCAAUAUUGGACCUUACAGGUACAAUUUUGGAAUGAGUACAAUUUAGAAACCUUAACGAUCACCAAUUGGAGGGCAAGUCUGGUGCCAGCAGCCGCGGUAAUUCCAGCUCCAAUAGUGUAUACUAAUUUUGUUGUAGUUAAAAAGCUCGUAGUUGGAUUUCGGAUGGCUGCGGUCUUUGGUACGUCCACAGUGAUUGUUACUGGACCGCGGCGUCCUGUCUUUCGGAUACACAGGCGGACCGGCUCCGACGGCUCCGGCCGGAGGCGUUCGACCGCCAAUUGCUGUUCCGAAUCGUUUACUUUGAAGAAAAUAGAGUGUUCAAAGCAGGCGUAACUUGCCUCUGAAUACAUUAGCAUGGGAUAACAAAAGAUGACUUUGGUUCUAUUUUGUUGGUUUCUAGGGCUGAGGUAAUGAUUAAUAGGGACGGUUGGGGUCGAUCGUAUUGAGUUGUCAGAGGUGAAAUUCUAUGAUUUACUCAAGACGAACAGCUGCGAAAGCGUUCGACAAGGACGUUUUCAUUAAUCAAGAACGAAAGUUGAGGGAUCGAAGAUGAUCAGAUACCGUCGUAGUCUCAACCAUAAACUAUGUCGACCAAGGAUCCGAAGGCGUUUAAUGGAAGACUCUCCGGGCACCUUGUGAGAAAUCAUAAGUAGCAGGAUUCCGGGGGGAGUAUGGUCGCAAGGCUGAAACUUAAAGGAAUUGACGGAAGGGCACCACCAGGAGUGGAACUUGCGGCUUAAUUUGACCCAACACGGGGCAACUUACCAGGUCCGGACACAUGAAGGAUUGACAGGUUGAGAGCUCUUUCUUGAUUAUGUGAGUGGUGGUGCAUGGCCGUUUUUAGUUGGUGGAGUGAUUUGUCUGGUUAAUUCCGUUAACGAACGAGACCUUAACCUAUUAAAUAGUUACGCAAACUCGUCCUUCGGGACUCUCGUUUGCGGGAAACUUCUUAGAGGGACUCUUCGCAUUUCUAGCGAAUGGAAGUUUGAGGCAAAAACAGGUCUGUGAUGCCCUUCGAUGUCCUGGGCUGCAC
rnacentral:rRNA from 1 species